GACGUAGGGCGCGAGCGUUGUCCGGAUUUAUUGGGCGUAAAGAGCUCGUAGGCGGCUUGUCGCGUCGGCUGUGAAAACCCGCGGCUCAACUGUGGGCGGGCAGCUGAUACGGGCAGACUGGAGGUAUGCAGGGGAGAACGGAAUUCCUGGUGUAGCGGUGAAAUGCGCAGAUAUCAGGAGGAACACCGGUGGCGAAGGCGGUUCUCUGGGCAUGUCCUGACGCUGAGGAGCGAAAGUGUGGGGAGCGAACAGG
rnacentral:rRNA from 1 species